rnacentral:rRNA from 1 species
UGGUCAAGUUAUUAAGGGUGCAGGGCGGAUGCCUUGGCACUAGGAGCCGAUGAAGGACGUGAUAAGCUGCGAUAAGCUUCGGGGAGUUGCACGUAAACUUUGAUCCGAAGAUUUCCGAAUGAGGAAACUCACUUAGAGUAAUGUCUAAGUAUCAUUAAGUGAAUACAUAGCUUAAUGAGGGGAACUCAGGGAACUGAAACAUCUAAGUACCUGAAGGAAGAGAAAGAAAUUCGAUUCCGUAAGUAGCGGCGAGCGAACGCGGAUUAGCCCAAACCAAUAAAGUUUUCUUUAUUGGGGUUGAGGACAUACCACAUAUAAGAGGUCAUUAUAGACGAAGAAGUUUGGAAAAACUCAUCAUAGAAGGUAAUAAUCCUGUAGUCAAAAUAAUAAUUCUUUAGGUAUGAUCCAGAGUACCACGGGACACGUGAAACCCUGUGGGAAGCAGGAGGGACCACCCUCCAAGGCUAAAUACUACCUAGUGACCGAUAGCGUAUAGUACCGUGAGGGAAAGGUGAAAAGAACCCCGGGAGGGGAGUGAAAUAGAACCUGAAACCCUGCACUUACAAGCUGU